CGCUGACUACACAUGUUCUACAUUUUUAUGUAAUAUUCAAAAGUGACACCUGAAACGCGUACGUUUAGACGUUUUUUCAUAUAAGCCCAAUGGAAGCGCCAGUGUGAAAACCGUCCGUUAUCCACUUUUGGACAUGUAUUUUUUCCGACAUUUUUGAAAAGCUUAGAUUUUCACAGCAAACGAUCAGAAACUCGAUGUUGUUCCCGAAUUAGAAUUCGAUGUGGCCUGGGACAUGGCUCUAUGUGACAUAUCUACAUUGGUGCAUGGGGCAAGAGGGUGAGGCCAUAUAGCGUCCUUGAUACGAUAUACGGUCUGACUCUCAGUAAUAUAAUGGAAUAUACCUUCUCAUUUAUUAAUAUACCGUAAAUAUACCACCCUACUUAAGCAAGUAAGCCGCGGACUAUUGUAUUGUAUAUUCUUAUAUCCUUCCAUUUACUUACCAACCAAAAUUUCCACGAUAUCUUUCAUCUGAACUUCCAAAAAUUUAAUCAUAUUCGUGGAGUGUAUUGUAAUACCCACUGUUUAAUCGUUCUCUAUCCAUGAUCGGAAAUCAUUUUUCUCGAUUUGGACAUUCUGUCCAAUGUAACUGGAUAUCUGGGCCCCUCAGCCCGGAACACAAAGUUUUAUCCGAGUAAUAAAUCAAUUUCUAUACAAUACUGGCUAAUUUGAACGAUCCACUUUAUUAAAUAGCUCAGAAUAUUAGGUUUCAACAAAAAAAUCCUUUUUUUACAUGGCAACUACACGGUAACUACACACUUGCCACAUAUCAACAACAUAUUUACGGAGUAUGCUUUUUUAUACAACCAUACAAACCAUAAGCUGCAAAAUUGCGUUGAAAAAGCUUUCACUUGUGUCUGCAUUCAUUGAACCCUUAACUCUGUAAUAUCUUUCCCUAGGGUAAGCGGAAUGAAGCUCAUUCCCUUGCUAUGUUUCGGGACACUGCUGCUAUCAAUACUAUCGACUAGAUAAUCGCUAGCACUGCGCGCCAAAGUGGAAUUUUUUGAAUGUGAAUAAGUGACAAGGAGCAUGUUGCGCCCCUGGCGGAGGGAAGCGAGAUAGCAGCAAAGCAGGUGUUGGUGUGAGAAGUGAAAAAGAGAGAGACAGACGUAGCGGAAUAACUAACCAUCGGGGUUCCUCUCCUUCUCUCUAUGUGUUUUAUGUUAAAGAGAUCCCCCUCACCAGAGUAUCCAUCAAAUUAAUUCGUCCCGUUUGCAAACAGCGAAACAGAGGGAUGGAGAGUAUGCGGCAGUCAUCGGCUCCGAGAUUCAUUCCGGGACUUACUUAUAUUCUCGCUUGUGGCAAUUAAAAUUUUUUUAAACCAGUAGAAUUUUAGUUGAAGGUUUAAUAUUUAUACAAAUUUAAAAAUACACAUAAGUUGGUAUAUAUGUAUAAAAUGCACAUUAGACCUGGUUUAAUUGCACAAAACUCUCAGCUUGAUGCUUCAGGUAGGACUUGCGGCAAUCCAAAUCAUCUGCGGGACGAUUAUGUGGGGUCCAGACGGGUUCUCCAACGAAAUACCGACGGGCUUUGAUAAAGUUCUAUGGGGAUACGAGAGUAACGAUUAGAAAACAAUAAUUUUGCCAUAAGGAAUGCAAUUUACAUUAGAGUCCAACGUGAAACGAUGGUAGAUACCCGCCGGAAUAA